UACGAAGGGUGCAAGCGUUACUCGGAAUUACUGGGCGUAAAGCGUGCGUAGGUGGUUUGUUAAGUCUGUUGUGAAAGCCCCGGGCUCAACCUGGGAAUGGCAAUGGAUACUGGCAAGCUAGAGUGCGGUAGAGGGUAGUGGAAUUCCCGGUGUAGCGGUGAAACGCGUAGAGAUCGGAAGGAACACCAGUGGCGAAGGCGGCUACCUGGCCUAAUACUGACACUGAGGCACGAAAGCGUGGGGAGCAAACAGG
rnacentral:rRNA from 1 species